AUUGAACGCUGGCGGCAUGCCUUACACAUGCAAGUCGAACGGUAACGGGCCUUCGGGUGCCGACGAGUGGCGCACGGGUGAGUAAUACAUCGGAACGUGCCCGAUCGUGGGGGAUAACGAGGCGAAAGCUUUGCUAAUACCGCAUACGAUCUACGGAUGAGAGCAGGGGACCGCAAGGCCUUGCGCGGACGGAGCGGCCGAUGGCAGAUUAGGUAGUUGGUGGGAUAAAAGCUUACCAAGCCGACGAUCUGUAGCUGGUCUGAGAGGAUGAUCAGCCACACUGGGACUGAGACACGGCCCAGACUCCUACGGGAGGCAGCAGUGGGGAAUUUUGGACAAUGGGCGCAAGCCUGAUCCAGCCAUGCCGCGUGCAGGAUGAAGGCCUUCGGGUUGUAAACUGCUUUUGUACGGGACGAAAAGCCUUCUUUUAAUACAGGAGGGUCAUGACGGUACCGGAAGAAUAAGCACCGGCUAACUACGUG
rnacentral:rRNA from 1 species